rnacentral:rRNA from 1 species
AUUGAACGCUGGCGGCAGGCCUAACACAUGCAAGUCGAGCGAGCGGCGGACGGGUGAGUAAUGUAUGGGGACUGCCCGAUAGAGGGGGAUAACUACUGGAAACGGUGGCUAAUACCGCAUACUAUCGGAUAACCCAUAUGGGAUUAGCUAGUUGGUGGGGUAAAGGCUCACCUAGGCGACGAUCUCUAGCUGGUCUGAGAGGAUGAUCAGCCACACUGGGACUGAGACACGGCCCAGACUCCUACGGAGGCAGCAGUGGGGAAUAUUGCACAAGGGGCGAAAGCCUGAUGCAGCCAUGCCGCGUGUAUGAAGAAGGCCUUAGGGAUGUAAAGUACUUUCGGCGGGGAGGCGUUAUCCGCAGAAGAAGCACCGGCUAACUCCGUGCCAGCAGCCGCGGUAAUUC